GGGAGCCUGGCAGGCGCGGAACCGUUAGCGCAGUUGGCGGCGGCGGUCAGCGACGGCACAGCGCUCAGCGCACACGGGGCCCCGCAGCAGCUGUAGCGGAGGCGCCCUGCGGUCCCGGCCCCCAGCGCGGCCACCCUCGCUCUCUCGGCCUCCCUGCCUCGCUUGCACCAUGGCUGAUCAGCUGACCGAAGAGCAGAUUGCUGAAUUCAAGGACGCUUUCUCCCUAUUUGACAAAAAUGGUGAUGGCACCAUCACAACCAAGGAACUUGGAACCGUUAUGAGGUCGUUGGGCCAGAAGCCGAAUUGCAGGACAUGAUCAACGCGGUGGACGCCGAUGGUAAUGGCACCAUUGACUUCCCAGAAUUUUUGACUGUGAUGGCUAGAAAAAAGAAAGACACCAACAGUGAAGAAGAAAUCCGCGAGGCAUUCCGAGUCUUUGAUAAGGAUGGCAACGGUUACAUCAGCGCCCCAGAGCUCCGCCACGUCAUGACAAACCUGGGAGAGAAACUGACAGAUGGGGAAGUAGAGGAGAUGAUCAGAGAAGCUGACAUCGAUGGAGACGGAGAAGUCAACUAUGAAGAAUUCGUACAGAUGAUGACUGCCAAAUGAAGACCUACUUUCAACUCCUUUCUCCCCCCUCUAGAAGAAUCAAAUUGAAUCUUUUACUUACUUCUUGCAAAAAACAAAAAGUUCAUUUACUCGUUCUGUUUCUAUAUAGCAAAACUGAAUGUCAAAAGUACCUUCUGUCCACACAAAAAAAAUCUGCAUGUGUUGGUUGGUGGUCCUGUCCCCUAAAGAUCAAGCUACACAUCAGUUUUCCGAUAUAAAUACUUGUCCUACCUUAACAAUAAGGAAGCGCUUCGUGGACUCCUGGCAGGUCCACCUGCUCAUGAUUAAUAACACUGUUUGGGCUGGCCAGUUUUUCAUGCAUGCAGCUUGACAGUUGAGCACAGUCAGGCGUUUGUAUUAAAAAUGAAAAA